AGCUCGUAUCUAUUUAAUCCAGCCUAUGUAUAUAUUUUGUGAAUGAAUGUUUGUUUGAUUUUAAUUCUGAGAUGUAGUUUGACGUGCUGUUCAAUUCCAAUAGCCACCUGAUCUUACUUCACCAUUUUUCAGCCACGUAUCACUCCAAUUCUUAUCUCAUUUAAAUUACCUCAUCUCCAUCAGCCUUCGUCAUUUUUUCAUCUCUGAAAAUUCUGUAAAAGAAAGAUCUCAACCUGCACAGAACGUUUCUUUGGACAUCUUCUUCCAUAGCCCUUCGGCUUGGUAAAAUUUAUUUUCGGUGAUUUUAAAACAUCAAGCAAUUCUAUCUUUCUCCUCUUUUAUAUUGUGCAGAAACACAACAAGCUUUUUUUUUCCAAAAUAAUUUCUAUUCUUGAAUCAAAUUCAGUCUACACAUGCUUUUAACCAAACAAUUUUUCCUAAAUCAUUCAUCUAAUUCAUGAGAAAACAUAGAGAGUAAAAUUCUGCUACUUUUCCAGUAAAGAAAUUAGAAAAUUUAGAAAUGGAAAAUAGAAGAAGAUGAAGUGGGUUGAGGCUUAGAAUAGACAGGGGAGUGGGCGUCUGAACGGCGAAGGUGUGGAGAAGCAGGCGGCGUCGGGCUGGAGGCGACGGCUGGCUGCUCGCCGGAUCAGGGAGACGGCGGUGGUGGCGGGCUGUUCGCUGGAGCAGGGGCGGCGUCGGCGCUCUUCGCCGAUGGCCGUCUGGUCGAGAGGGUGAGAGGAGGCUGGGAGAGAGAGAGAGAGGGAGGCUGGGAGAGAGAGGGGAGACGCCGGGCGGCGGCGGCAGAAGCAAGGGAGAAGGAGAUGGUGCGUAUGAGGUGGUGUGAGUAUGUGUUUGGGUGUUGGUGUGUGUGCAGAGCGUGAGGGAGAGGGUGAGAUGUAGAUUUAAGGAAGCAAAAAGAAUGGGAUUUGGACAAUUCUUGGGCUUAGGCUAUUAAAAAGUUGGGCUAGACUUUUAUUUAAUUAAAUGGGCUAGUUUGAGCCAAAAAUUUGAUUUUUUACUCAUAUUAAGUAAUUUGGCCUCAGAUUUUGAUAUAUAUAUUGAACCCAAUAUUUAUAAUAAAGGAUAUCUUAUAAAAGGAUUUUAUUGGUCUUCUAAAAUAAAUUCUUAAUAUUUAUGUUAUUUAUAAAUUUCAAUUAGGCCCUUAUAUUGGUUAUUUGAAUUUUUCUGACUAGGUGCAGCGCGACUAGGACUUGGACUGUGAUUUUGAAUUAUCGAAGUUAAAUUUGCAAGUCAAGUUAAGGUGUGGGAUUUAUUUCAGUACAUGCUGUGGUUAAUUCUUGUCCAUUUUAAUAAUAUGUGUUCACCAUAUGUGUUAUGACGUAUAUUUUGAGGAUAUCGCUAGGGGCCCGUAAAUAGGGUCCAGGACUUCACCGUCCUUGGGUUGCCACAAUGCGAUUUGAGGUAUAUUUUGAGGAUGUCGCCAGGGGCCCGUAAAUAGGGUCCGGGACUUUAAUAGUCCUUGGAUUGCCACAGUGCGAAUAUUGAGGAUAUAUAUGAAGUGACCGUAUGUGUUACCGUUUUAUUAACGUGGACAAUUAUUGCAUGAUAUCCCACACUAAGUAUACUUUGUAUGCUUAUCCCAUAUUUAACAUUUUCAGGUAACUGAUGCUGGAGACGCGUGGAGGGUCGAAUGGGCGCGUCAAAUCUUUUUGAGUCAAAAGAAAUUAUCUUCUUUUGAACUUUGUACAGUAUCAGAUACUUUUGUUUUAGUAAUAGCGUUAGAUUUUCAAAUUGUUUUCCAGGUCAUGUUUGACUUUGUACGUUAUAAUAUCGUUGUGUUAUGUAUAUAUUAGAGUUUGAUAUUUUGAAGUUAUCAAAAAUUAUUGAUUAUACGAUGUUAG
rnacentral:lncRNA from 1 species